AAUAUUUUAAUGCAGUCAAUUAGCGUAAAAAGUGGUACAGUCUCCCUGUUUCCAGGUAAAUAUUGUGCUAUGUACCUCAUAAAUGUUGAUCUUAGACAUCAUCUUCAUCAGUGUUUGAUGAGCAGGCUAACAUGUAAAGAGAAAUAAUGUGGGAAAUAGUUAGCUAUCUCCAGUUAGGCUAAACAAUGGAUCCCGCAUGGCCUAGUUUAAAUGUGGCAG